rnacentral:rRNA from 1 species
GAUGAACGCUGGCGGCGUGCCUAAUACAUGCUAGUCGAACGAAACUUCUUUAUCACCGAGUGCUUGCACUCACCGAUAAAGAGUUGAGUGGCGAACGGGUGAGUAACACGUGGGCAACCUGCCCAAAAGAGGGGGAUAACACUUGGAAACAGGUGCUAAUACCGCAUAACCAUAGUUACCGCAUGGUAACUAUGUAAAAGGUGGCUAUACUACCGCUUUUGGAUGGGCCCGCGGCGCAUUAGCUAGUUGGUAGGGUAAAGGCUUACCAAGGCAAUGAUGCGUAGCCGAAUUGAGAGGUUGAUCGGCCACAUUGGGACUGAGACACGGCCCAAACUCCUACGGGAGGCAGCAGUAGGGAAUCUUCCACAAUGGGCGAAAGCCUGAUGGAGCAACGCCGCGUGGGUGAAGAAGGUCUUCGGAUCAUAAAACCCUGUUGUUAGAGAAGAAAGUGCGUGAGAGUAACUGUUCACGUUUCGACGGUAUCUAACCAGAAAGCCACGGCUAACUACGUG